AUGUUCCCAGACAACAAUAGACUGUGUGUGUUACAUCUGUCUUGGUGCAACUUCAGCUUUACAUCUCCUGCCUUCCUCUCUUGUAGCCACCUAAGAUUCCUCCUGCUGGACCAUUGCAAAGAUGCCAGAGAUGAGGAUCAUGAAAGCAACAACCAAAAUGGACCAUGUUUCCAGAAGCUGUGGGUAUUGGACCUGAGGUAUACAGACUGGUACUCAAAAAAGAAUGUGUGUUUGAUGGAUGAACUAACGGAAUUAAAUGUGGAGGGAAUCAAGGAUUGGAGGAUAGUUGAUCUAUGUGGCAGUAAAGCUAGCCUUGUCAAGCUCCGAUUAGCAGCCGACGUGCACUCUGCAAAAGAAGUAGCCAUGCAACGGGCAAUCCUUAACAUGUCUAGAGCCAGUCACCUUAAGGCAGUCAUCCUUGAAAACUGCGUUGGAUUGGAACAAGUUAUCCCUGAUGCUCUGCCCCCAUUGCUUGAGUCAUUUAGCUUCAUUAUCAGUGAUGCUGUCAUUGCUAAAAUAUCUAGCAUCUCCUUCCAGGGCUUUGCUAAAUUGAAGAGUGUGUUACUGAGAGGCUUGAUGGGGGCCCUCGAGGAGUUGGACCUCUCAGGCACAGCAGUGAAGGCACUCGACCUCAGAGAAAUGGUAGCAUUGAACCUCAAGAAGCUCAUCCUGUUGGGUUGUGAGAAACUGCAAUCAAUACAAUGGCCACCAGGUGACAAAAUGAUGCAUAAGUUGGAGGUGUUGCACAUUGACACCAUCCGAUCUGCAUCAUCUGGCCAAGCUAAUUGGGAAGAAAAGAGCAAUAAGACUAGUGCUACGACAGGAUCAUCAUGUAUUGCUGCAUUUGCUGCUACAAAACUAGCUGCAUCCUUUAAUUGGUACAUCUCUGUAAGGAAUGCAAGGCUCCUUAGGUCGCUAGUGCCUGUCAAAGAAUAUUUCUGCGGGGUUGGACAUGUGGACACAUGGAUAUAUGGAGAAGAAUAUUUCUGGUCGUGGGGUGGACAUAUGGAGAUGGCUUCAUCACCUGCAAGUAGUGUUGUUGUUGGUGGUAGCGAAUGUGGUCAAGGAAUUAGACAGCCUAAUCAUGAUUUAUACGCAAGAGAUAUCAUCUUUCAGGACCACCUGCAGGCCGUUGCUGCUAAUGAAGGUUUAAUUGAAUGGAUGUGGGCUAGCCCGCCUGACUUUGCUGUUGAUGAAUUCAAGGACUGGUAUGUCCACAUACAAGAUGAAGAGCAGAUGAACAAUGGAUUGCUACUGCAAGAGGACAGAAUCAAAGAAACUAGUAUUGGCGGUUCUUUACUCCCUUAUUGGCUAUGUUACAGAGCUAAGACGUUGCAUGUGCAUGAUAGCUUGAUGUCCAUCACUAGGAUCGAAUCCACACGGCAACCACGUUGGCCCCAUCUUAAAGAGUGCCGAGUUGAGAGGUGCCCCAAGCUAGGUUCUGUAUUUGCUGCUCCCACAAAAAGUAAUGACGGAAGUAAUGAAGUUGAAUACUUUCGUCGAUUGACCACAUUAUGGGCAUCCCAACUCUCAACGGCACGCUAUAUAUGCAACUGGAGUACAAUACAACUACCAAAUGAAGAUUCCUUUCAAAACCUAACCUUCUUGCACCUAGACUAUUGCCCGAGGCUCAUACAUGUUCUGCCCUUAUCCGCACAUAUGACUACCUUACCUCAAUUAGCAACCCUCGAGAUCGUGUGUUGUGGCGAUCUCAUGGAGAUCUUCCCUCUGGACCCUGAGCGCCAAAAGAAGCAAACAAUUAUAUAUUUCCCCAACCUGAAGCGCAUCCACCUACAUGAUCUCCCUAGGCUGCAGUGCAUAUAUAUGUGGAAGUAA
rnacentral:rRNA from 1 species